GAAAUUUCUGAAAGAAAAAAAAAAAACUUCAACUUUCAUUCAAAUUUUGCUUUCAAUUUAAGGGACAAAUUAAAGCCAGAAACCAACUUGAGAAAGAAAGCAGCUGCUCAGAGGAGAAGGCAGGAUCACGUGGAGAGGUGACUUCCGGAAAUCUUCCAGGGACAGUAUGGACAGAGGAUAUGCCGCUUCUAACAACCUUAGGCAAUCCGUGCUCUGAAGGAAAGUGAGACGCAAGCCUCAGGUAGAAAGCAAUCCCUCGGAAAUCCCUCUUUACAGCCGAGCCCACAUUUCACAGCAAGUUAGGGAAUGCUCUCUUCAACUCCUGUACCAAAUAUCCUUCCAGAACGUCCCUGGCCACAAGAAUGUC